rnacentral:misc_RNA from 1 species
CCAAAAGAUAAUCUUUCAAAUCGAAAGAUCUUUUCCUUUGUGCUGGCUUUGACCGUAUGUAAUUUUGGGACUUAAACAUGGUAACUUUUUUGUUACCGGUCCCAAAAACAAUUAUAUCAUCCUUAUGAAAAACUUACUGAACAACUAAACAAUGAUUUUAAUAA